rnacentral:lncRNA from 1 species
GAGAAGUCAGGCCAGAUUAAGCCAUAGUACGGAAAGAGCUAUGCUGCCUGUGAGCCCCGUCC